rnacentral:rRNA from 1 species
UACGGAGGAUGCGAGCGUUAUCCGGAUUUAUUGGGUUUAAAGGGUGCGCAGGCGGCGUGUCAAGUCAGCGGUAAAAAGUCGGGGCUCAACCCCGGCCGGCCGUUGAAACUGGCGUGCUCGAGUUGGAGAGAAGUAUGCGGAAUUCGUGGUGUAGCGGUGAAAUGCAUAGAUAUCACGAAGAACCCCGAUUGCGAAGGCAGCAUACCGGCUCCACACUGACGCUGAGGCACGAAAGCGUGGGUAUCGAACAGG